rnacentral:rRNA from 1 species
GAUGAACGCUGGCGUCGUGCUUAACACAUGCAAGUCGAACGGAAAGGCCCAAGCUUGCUUGGGUACUCGAGUGGCGAACGGGUGAGUAACACGUGGGUGAUCUGCCCUGCACUUCGGGAUAAGCCUGGGAAACUGGGUCUAAUACCGGAUAGGACGAUGGUUUGGAUGCCAUUGUGGAAAGUUUUUUCGGUGUGGGAUGAGCUCGCGGCCUAUCAGCUUGUUGGUGGGGUAAUGGCCUACCAAGGCGUCGACGGGUAGCCGGCCUGAGAGGGUGUACGGCCACAUUGGGACUGAGAUACGGCCCAGACUCCUACGGGAGGCAGCAAUGGGGAAUAUUGCACAAUGGGCGCAAGCCUGAUGCAGCGACGCCGCGUGGGGGAUGACGGCCUUCGGGUUGUAAACUCCUUUCGCUAGGGACGAAGCGUUUUUGUGACGGUACCUGGAGAAGAAGCACCGGCUAACUACGUG